UCGAGGAUCUUCGGCAAUGGGCGCAAGCCUGACCGAGCGACGCCGCGUGUGCGAUGAAGGCCUUCGGGUUGUAAAGCACUGUCGAGGGGGAGGAAGCUCCGCAAGGAGUUGACUAAUCCCUGGAGGAAGCACGGGCUAAGUUCGUGCCAGCAGCCGCGGUAAGACGAACCGUGCGAACGUUGUUCGGAUUCACUGGGCUUAAAGGGCGCGUAGGCGGGCUUGUAAGUCAGGGGUGAAAUCCUCCGGCUCAACCGGAGAACAGCCUUUGAUACUGCAAGUCUCGAGGGAGAUAGGGGUCUGCGGAACUUCCGGUGGAGCGGUGAAAUGCGUAGAUAUCGGAAGGAACGCCGGUGGCGAAAGCGGCGGACUGGAUCUCAUCUGACGCUGAGGCGCGAAAGCUAGGGUAGCGAACGGGAUUAGAUACCCCCGUAGUCC
rnacentral:rRNA from 1 species